GUAACGACCCGAAAAUCGGACCGCUACCGGCGCUAGGAUCCGGGUCGACUUAAGGCCGCCAGGACCCGUAGCAAGCCAAACAUACAUCCUGGAAACCUGUUUAAUCCCAUACAUGAUCAACAAUCAUACAUAAAAAUUAAAACUUUUCUUUCAUACAUUCUAUCAUACGCCAAACUCAACCUGUGCAUGCACUGAACAUAACNN
rnacentral:lncRNA from 1 species